rnacentral:rRNA from 1 species
UACGUAGGGGGCAAGCGUUAUCCGGAUUUACUGGGUGUAAAGGGAGCGUAGACGGUGAUGCAAGUCAGAAGUGAAAGCCCGGGGCUCAACUCCGGGACUGCUUUUGAAACUGUGUGACUGGAGUGCAGGAGAGGCAGGCGGAAUUCCUAGUGUAGCGGUGAAAUGCGUAGAUAUUAGGAGGAACACCAGUGGCGAAGGCGACUUUCUGGACAGUAACUGACGUUGAGGCACGAAAGUGUGGGGAGCAAACAGG